rnacentral:rRNA from 1 species
GAUCCUGGCUCAGGAUGAACGCUGGCGGCGUGCCUAAUACAUGCAAGUCGAGCGAACCACUUCGGUGGUGAGCGGCGAACGGGUGAGUAACACGUAGGUUAUCUGCCCAUCAGACGGGGACAACGAUUGGAAACGAUCGCUAAUACCGGAUAGGACGAAAGUUUAAAGGUGCUUCGGCACCACUGAUGGAUGAGCCUGCGGCGCAUUAGCUAGUUGGUAGGGUAAAGGCCUACCAAGGCGACGA